UACGUAGGGUGCAAGCGUUGUCCGGAAUUAUUGGGCGUAAAGAGCUCGUAGGCGGUCUGUCGCGUCGGCUGUGAAAACCCGGGGCUCAACCCCGGGCCUGCAGUCGAUACGGGCAGACUAGAGUGCGGUAGGGGAGACUGGAAUUCCUGGUGUAGCGGUGAAAUGCGCAGAUAUCAGGAGGAACACCGGUGGCGAAGGCGGGUCUCUGGGCCGUAACUGACGCUGAGGAGCGGAAGCGUGGGGAGCGAACAGG
rnacentral:rRNA from 1 species